rfam:Ictidomys tridecemlineatus contig114925, whole genome shotgun sequence.
GGGGCUGGGGCUCAGGGGUGGAGCGCUGGCCUAGCAUGUGUGAGGCCCUGGGUUCAAACCCCAGCACCACCC